ACACUCUUAGCUCAGUUGGAUAGAGCAUACGCCUUCUAAGCGUAGUGUCACUGGUUCAAGCCCAGUAGGGUGUA
rnacentral:tRNA from 1 species